GCCUUCGUGGUGUAGUGGUCAGCACGCUCGGCCGCGUAUUCGAGAAUUCCGUGGUUCGAGUCCCGGCGAAGGCA
rnacentral:tRNA from 1 species